rnacentral:ncRNA from 1 species
AGGUUAAUGACAAAGUGCUCGUAUCAGUGAAAACAGGCAGAUCGUAAAGACGCCGUAAAUCGUCCCUGAUGGCUCGAGCCGCGCCAUCCGUGGCGCGGACGCUUU